rnacentral:rRNA from 1 species
AACGAACGCUGGCGGCAGGCUUAACACAUGCAAGUCGAGCGCCCCGCAAGGGGAGCGGCAGACGGGUGAGUAACACGUGGGAAUCUACCCAUCCCUGCGGAACAACUCCGGGAAACUGGAGCUAAUACCGCAUACGCCCUACGGGGGAAAGAUUUAUCGGGGAUGGAUGAGCCCGCGUUGGAUUAGCUAGUUGGUGGGGUAAAGGCCUACCAAGGCGACGAUCCAUAGCUGGUCUGAGAGGAUGAUCAGCCACAUUGGGACUGAGACACGGCCCAAACUCCUACGGGAGGCAGCAGUGGGGAAUAUUGGACAAUGGGCGCAAGCCUGAUCCAGCCAUGCCGCGUGAGUGAUGAAGGCCUUAGGGUUGUAAAGCUCUUUCACCGGGGAAGAUAAUGACGGUACCCGGAGAAGAAGCCCCGGCUAACUUCGUGCCAGCCGCCGCCGUAA